rnacentral:rRNA from 1 species
UAAGCGGAGGAAAAGAAACUAACAAGGAUUCCCCUAGUAACUGCGAGUGAAGCGGGAAAAGCUCAAAUUUAAAAUCUGGCGGUCUUUGGCCGUCCGAGUUGUAAUUUAGAGAAGCGUCUUCCGCGCUGGACCGUGCACAAGUCUCCUGGAAUGGAGCGUCAUAGAGGGUGAGAAUCCCGUCUUUGGCACGGAUGCCUGGUGCUUCUGUGAUGCGCUCUCGAAGAGUCGAGUUGUUUGGGAAUGCAGCUCAAAAUGGGUGGUGAACUCCAUCUAAAGCUAAAUAUUGGCGAGAGACCGAUAGCGAACAAGUACCGUGAGGGAAAGAUGAAAAGCACUUUGGAAAGAGAGUGAAACAGUACGUGAAAUUGUUGAAAGGGAAACGCUUGAAGUCAGUCGCGUCGACCGAGACUCAGCCUUGCCUUGGCUUGGUGUACUUCUCGGCCCGACGGGUCAGCAUCAAUUUUGCCCCUCGGAUAAUGGCAGGGGAAAGGUGGCACCUUUACGGGUGUGUUAUAGUCUUCUGUCGAAUGCGAGGGGUGGGAUUGAGGAACUCAGCGCGCACCUCAGUGUCGGGGCUUCGGCCCACGUCACGCGCUUAGGAUGCUGGCGUAAUGGCUUUAAACGACC